GUAUGGGAUUUCUGCACCUUUUUCUUUCCUCUCUUAGAGGAUCGACGUCCUGCAGAUGAACAUCCCAGUAAAUUUAUCAGCUCUUUCUGGAGCUGAUGGUUCUUCUCAAAAGUCUGCAGUAAUCCUAGCAAGUCAUGGUAGUUUAUUGUAAGCUUUGUUAUUCUGCAAUGACUGAGAAAUGGUAGGUAGAAUUUCGGUAGCGAGUUGAGAAUUGCAUCCUUGCCUAACUGUUCAU
rnacentral:lncRNA from 1 species